rnacentral:rRNA from 1 species
UACAGAGGUGGCAAGCGUUGUUCGGAAUUACUGGGCGUAAAGCGCACGUAGGCGGAUCGAUCAGUCAGGGGUGAAAUCCCAGAGCUCAACUCUGGAACUGCCUUUGAUACUGUCGGUCUAGAGUAUGGAAGAGGUGAGUGGAAUUCCGAGUGUAGAGGUGAAAUUCGUAGAUAUUCGGAGGAACACCAGUGGCGAAGGCGGCUCACUGGUCCAUUACUGACGCUGAGGUGCGAAAGCGUGGGGAGCAAACAGG